UCGGGAAUUUUGGACAAUGGGCGCAAGCCUGAUCCAGCCAUGCCGCGUGGAUGAUGAAGGCCUUAGGGUUGUAAAACUCUUUCGUCGGGGACGAUAAUGACGGUACCCGAAGAAGAAGCUCCGGCUAACUUCGUGCCAGCAGCCGCGGUAAUACGAAGGGAGCUAGCGUUGUUCGGAAUCACUGGGCGUAAAGCGCACGUAGGCGGAUAGUUAAGUCAGGGGUGAAAUCCUGGGGCUCAACCCCAGAACUGCCUUUGAUACUGGCUGUCUCGAGGUCGAGAGAGGUUGGUGGAAUUCCUAGUGUAGAGGUGAAAUUCGUAGAUAUUAGGAAGAACACCAGUGGCGAAGGCGGCCAACUGGCUCGAUACUGACGCUGAGGUGCGAAAGCGUGGGGAGCAAACAGGAUUAGAUACCCCAGUAGUCCCUGAGCGGGCUGGCAAGGCGCAU
rnacentral:rRNA from 1 species